rnacentral:tRNA from 1 species
CCCUGGCUGUCCAGUGGUUAGGGCACCACAUUCUCACUGCUGGCAUCCAGGGUUCAAUCCCUGGUCAGGGA